ensembl:snRNA U6 U6 spliceosomal RNA
AUGCUCCCUUCAGCAGCACAUAAACUAAAAUUGGAACAAUAUAGAGAUGAGCAUGGCACCCGUGUAAGGAUGACAGGCAAAUUUGCAAAAAGUUCCAUAUUUUU